rnacentral:lncRNA from 1 species
AUGAGUGGUCACCGAAGCCGGAGAAACACUAAAGACCCAAAGAAAACUCGAGAAAAGCCUAUAAGAGAAGAGGUCUCAGACGAAAGUGAACUAGAGAGUGACGCGACGGAGAAAAUGGACCAAGCCGAAGUACUGAAAGCUGGACUUGCUGGCAUCAGUAGCGAGAUACGAGACCUCAAGCAAGAACUCCGAAACGAGUUGACAACAUUCAAAGACGAACUCAAAGGUGAGAUGAAACAAGAAAUUGCCACCUUAAGACAAGACAUCGAGCGAAAGCUUACAGAAAAUCACAAAGAACUUCAGGAACAGAAAGCUAGCAUAACCGAGGCGCAGGCUCGCAUAGCGGAGUUGGAGGAGUAUGACAUAGAGACGUGCGGCCUGCUAACGAAGCUAACAAAACAGACACACCAGAUGCAGGACAAACUAACGGACCUCGAAGCGAGGUCUCGGCGAAAUAAUGUCCGGAUCUUUGGACUGCCUGAGGACAUAGAAGGAAGCUCCAUUACAGUCUACUUGGACAGCCUUCUUAAAAAAGAGCUGGAACUACCCGGAGGAACUGAUCUACAAAUCCAACGCGCCCACAGAGCUCUCGCACUUAAACCAGGCCCGGGUGGUGCUCCGAGAGCAGUAGUGGUUAAUUUUCUCAAGUUUGAAACUAAGGAGAUGGUCCUACAGAAAGUCUGGCAGAAGAAGGGGAUACAGGUGGGCAAUAAGAGAAUCCAACUAGACCACGACUAUCCUACAGAAAUCGUCCAAAAACGCAAAACAUAUCUGGGCAUCAAGAAAACACUGAAAGAGAAGGGGAUCCGUUUUCAGACCCCAUUUACGAAAAUAAGAAUCCACUGGAACAACGGUGUUAAAAGCUAUGACAACGCGGGAGAUGCAGUGCAAGAUAUGAGAGCAAGGGGAUUAACUGUGGAUGUACCGGACGUGGCCGCGGGACGAGUGGAGGAGGUGACUCGAGGUGCAAUGGGAUGGCAGCAUGUGGGACAUAACAGGUCAAGGCAGGAUGCGGUGGCACAACGAGCGAAGGAGAAGUUGCAAGAAUAUGGGAAGAGACCCAACAUGUAA